rnacentral:lncRNA from 1 species
AAUAAAUAUUUAUGUCAUAUAACCACAAACAGGCCGCCAUGUUGAUUCAAAACCAUCCAAUCAGAAGCAGACAGGAAGUGCUGACACGUCAAAGUGAUCUGCUGGUGACUCAGUGAAGACACAUACAAACCCUCAGACUGUGACAAAGGCGUGUUUGCGCCCUCUGCAGGCAGUGCAGUGUUACUACCUGCAGUAACAGCAGGGCGACGUCCAUGGCGAUGAUGGUCAGGGAGUUCUCCUGCAGCCAAUCACUGAACGUCUGACUGCAGCCCUGAAAGCCACAAACCCAGCAGAAUCAUGGACACCAAACAUUGAGAUGCAGCCUGAGCCUUCAGAACAACCAGAGGACUCUGGGAACUCCACUGCAUCCUUCCAGCAGACACCAAACAUUGAGAUGCAGCCUGAGCCUUCAGAACAACCAGAGGACUCUGGGAACUCCACUGCAUCCUUCCAGCAGACACCAAACAUUGAGAUGCAGUCUGAGCCUUCAGAACAACCACAGGACUAUGGGAAAAUCUCAAACUCAAAAAACCUCAAGAAAAUCUCAAACUCAACUCAGGUCCAAGAACUGAGACUUGUAGGGCCUCGAGGCUUGCACUUGACUCAGACACCUUGGGCAAGAUUGACAGCAGUUCUACCUCGUCAUCUACCCUGGAUAACAUGGAUAUCAGUGGCACUCAACCAAGAAAUGGUAACAUAUAAAAAACCUCCAAAUGCAAACUGUAAUAAAUGUAGACAGAUGUUUAGUAGGUAAAGUAUAAAAUGCUUAAGCAAUGUCUUGUUGCUGUUAGGUUUUCAAACCACUGCAUUGUUUUUUAUCACAAGACAAGUUCAAAGGAAUGUUUCAUGGAAGAGGCCGAAAGUUACAAAUGUUGCCAUUAAACAUGUGUGAAAGGC